rnacentral:tRNA from 1 species
CAAUAGAUGGCCGAGUGGUUAUGGCGCCAGCUUCAGGUACUCCAAAGUACAUGCUGGUCUCGCAAGAGGCGUGGGUUCGAGUCCCACUCUGUUCA